AGAGUUUGAUCCUGGCUCAGAUUGAACGCUGGCGGCAUGCCUUACACAUGCAAGUCGAACGGCAGCACGGACUUCGGUCUGGUGGCGAGUGGCGAACGGGUGAGUAAUAUAUCGGAACAUACCCAGUAGUGGGGGAUAACUAUCCGAAAGGAUAGCUAAUACCGCAUACGAUCUGUGGAUGAAAGCAGGGGAUCUUCGGACCUUGUGCUAUUGGAAUGGCCGAUAUCUGAUUAGCUAGUUGGUAGGGUAAAAGCCUACCAAGGCGACGAUCAGUAGCUGGUCUGAGAGGACGACCAGCCACACUGGAACUGAGACACGGUCCAGACUCCUACGGGAGGCAGCAGUGGGGAAUUUUGGACAAUGGGGGCAACCCUGAUCCAGCAAUGCCGCGUGAGUGAAGAAGGCCCUCGGGUUGUAAAGCUCUUUUGUCAGGGAAGAAACGGAGUUCUCUAAUAUAGGAUUCUAAUGACGGUACCUGAAGAAUAAGCACCGGCUAACUACGUGCCAGCAGCCGCGGU
rnacentral:rRNA from 1 species